GGCAGAUGAUGGCUUAUCUCACGAUGGUCUGCGGAUGCCCCUGUGGGCGCUGCCGAUAAAUGCCGAUAGCUUAGCUGAUGCCAAGAG